AACCAGCACCCUCAAGUGGUCAGGAUGAUUAUUGGGCCUAAAGCAUCCGUAGCUCGUUUUGUAAGUUUUCGGUUAAAUCCAUGCGCUUAACGUAGUGGGCUGCCGGGAAUACUGCAUAACUAGGAGUGGAGAGUAGACGUACUCGGUAGGAAGGGUAAAUCCUUUGAUCUAUUGAUGACCACCUGUGGCGAAGGCGGUCUACCAGAACACGUUCGACGGUGAGGGAUGAAAGCGUGGGGGAGACAAACCGG
rnacentral:rRNA from 1 species